UACGUAGGUGACAAGCGUUUGUCCGGAUUUACUGGGCGUAAAGAGCGCGCAGGCGGUCGAUCAAGUCGAGUGUGAAAGCCCCCGGCUCAACUGGGGAGGGUCAUUCGAUACUGAUCGACUCGAAGGCAGGAGAGGGUAGUGGAAUUCCCGGUGUAGUGGUGAAAUGCGUAGAUAUCGGGAGGAACACCAGUGGCGAAGGCGACUACCUGGCCUGUUCUUGACGCUGAGGCGCGAAAGCUAGGGGAGCAAACGGG
rnacentral:rRNA from 1 species